rnacentral:rRNA from 1 species
AGAGUUUGAUCCUGGCUCAGGAUAAACGCUGGCGGCGUGCCUAACACAUGCAAGUCGAACGUCCUCGUGCAAACGAGGGAGUGGCGGACGGGUGAGUAGCACGUGGGUAUCUACCCCGGGGUGAGGAAUACCGGCGAGAAAUCGCCGACAAAACCGCAUAGGGUCUCGGAGACGAGAGCAAAGGCGCAAGCCGCCCUGGG